rnacentral:rRNA from 1 species
CCUACGGGAGGCAGCAGUGAGGAAUAUUGGUCAAUGGACGAGAGUCUGAACCAGCCAAGUAGCGUGAAGGAUGACUGCCCUAUGGGUUGUAAACUUCUUUUAUAUGGGAAUAAAAUGUUCCACGUGUGGGAUUUUGUAUGUACCAUUUGAAUAAGGAUCGGCUAACUCCGUGCCAGCAGCCGCGGUAAUACGGAGGAUCCGAGCGUUAUCCGGAUAUAGUGGGUUUAACGGGUGCGAAGGUGGAUUGUAAAGUGAGAUGUGAAAGUUUGCGGCUCAACCGUAAAACUGGAGUGGAAACUGGCAGGCUUGAGAACAGGAGAGGUGAGCGGAAUUCGUGGUGUAGCGGUGAAAUGCUUAGAUAUCACGAAGAACUCCGAUUGCGAAGGCAGGUCACUGGACUGUAACUGACACUGAGGCUCGAAAGUGUGGGGAGCAAACAGGAUUAGAUACCCUUGUAGUC